rnacentral:lncRNA from 1 species
AGAAAUUUGAAUUGAGAUCAGUUUUGGAAAAGGGAAAGGGGGAUGUGAAAAAAAAAUGGGGGGGGGGUUAAAUUUUUCUCAUUUCAGAUUUCAUAAAUAAAAAGAAAAAUUUCUUCAAACAUUUUUUUGAGAGGAUUAAUAUUCAACAGCAAAGUGAAUUGCUCAAAGGCAAAAAAAAUAUUUUAAGUUCAGUAGACCACAUUCAUUCUGUGUCAGAAACCUAUGCUGUGUCAACUAUUUAAUCACAAUCCAAAUUUAGAGCUGUAUCCAGCUUGAAUGUUGUGUCCAUACUUGCCCCA